rnacentral:lncRNA from 1 species
UUUUUAACCAGGGUAAAGUAGGGAGGCCUGGAAAUGAAGAAGAAAGAAAAGAAAGAAAGAAAGAAAGAAAGAAAGAAAGAAAGAAAGAAAGAAAGAAAGAAAGAAAGAAAGAAAGAAAGAAAGAAAGAAAGAAAGAAAGAAAGAAAGAAAGAAAGAAAGAAAGAAAGAAAGAAAGAAAGAAAGAAGGAAAGAAGGAAAGAAAGAAGGAAAGAAAGAAAGAAGGAAGGAAAGAGGUCAGGGACUCUAAGUGGGAAAUAGCAUAGAAAGUCCUAUUCUCUUAUUUGGAAGGAAGGAAGGAAGGAAGGAAGGAAGGAAGGAAGGAAGGAAGGAAGGAAGGAAGGAAGGAAGGAAGGAAGGAAGGAAGGAAGGAAGGAUAAGGAAUUCUUAGAG